rnacentral:rRNA from 1 species
GAUGAACGCUGGCGGCGUGCCUAAUACAUGCAAGUCGAGCGAACAGACGAGGAGCUUGCUCCUCUGACGUUAGCGGCGGACGGGUGAGUAACACGUGGCUAACCUACCUAUAAGACUGGGAUAACUUCGGGAAACCGGAGCUAAUACCGGAUAAUAUAUUGAACCGCAUGGUUCAAUAGUGAAAGACGGUUUUGCUGUCACUUAUAGAUGGAUCCGCGCCGCCUUAGCUAGUUGGUAAGGUAACGGCUUACCAAGGCAACGAUGCGUAGCCGACCUGAGAGGGUGAUCGGCCACACUGGAACUGAGACACGGUCCAGACUCCUACGGGAGGCAGCAGUAGGGAAUCUUCCGCAAUGGGCGAAAGCCUGACGGAGCAACGCCGCGUGAGUGAUGAAGGUCUUCGGAUCGUAAAACUCUGUUAUUAGGGAAGAACAAAUGUGUAAGUAACUAUGCACGUCUUGACGGUACCUAAUCAGAAAGCCACGGCUAACUACGUG